rnacentral:rRNA from 1 species
UACAGAGGUCUCAAGCGUUGUUCGGAUUCAUUGGGCGUAAAGGGUGUGUAGGUGGCGCCGUAAGUCGGGUGUGAAAUUUCGGAGCUUAACUCCGAAACUGCAUUUGAUACUGCGGUGCUUGAGGACUGGAGAGGAGACUGGAAUUCACGGUGUAGCAGUGAAAUGCGUAGAUAUCGUGAGGAAGACCAGUGGCGAAAGCGACUUCCUGGACCAGUACCGACGUUCAGGCACGAAAGCGUGGGGAGCAAACAGG